UUGUUUGGAAUGCACUUUACCCCCCCUGCCUUUUAUUUGGUCAAACUCUUUCAUUUAGAGGAAGUAAAAGUCGUAACAAGGUUUCCGUAGGUGAACCUGCGGAAGGAUCAUUACCGAGUGAGGGCCCUCUGGGUCCAACCUCCCACCCGUGUUUAUUUUACCUUGUUGCUUCGGCGGGCCCGCCUUAACUGGCCGCCGGGGGGCUUACGCCCCCGGGCCCGCGCCCGCCGAAGACACCCUCGAACUCUGUCUGAAGAUUGAAGUCUGAGUGAAAAUAUAAAUUAUUUAAAACUUUCAACAACGGAUCUCUUGGUUCCGGCAUCGAUGAAGAACGCAGCGAAAUGCGAUACGUAAUGUGAAUUGCAAAUUCAGUGAAUCAUCGAGUCUUUGAACGCACAUUGCGCCCCCUGGUAUUCCGGGGGGCAUGCCUGUCCGAGCGUCAUUGCUGCCCUCAAGCCCGGCUUGUGUGUUGGGCCCCGUCCCCCGAUCUCCGGGGGACGGGCCCGAAAGGCAGCGGCGGCACCGCGUCCGGUCCUCGAGCGUAUGGGGCUUUGUCACCCGCUCUGUAGGCCCGGCCGGCGCUUGCCGAUCAACCCAAAUUUUUAUCCAGGUUGACCUCGGAUCAGGUAGGGAUACCCGCUGAACUUAAGCAUAUCAAUAAGCGGAGGAAAAGAAACCAACAGGGAUUGCCCCAGUAACGGCGAGUGAAGCGGCAAGAGCUCAAAUCCAAAGCUGGCUAGA
rnacentral:rRNA from 1 species